GACGAACGCUGGCGGCGUGCCUAAUACAUGCAAGUAGAACGCUGAAGAGAGGAGCUUGCUCUUCUUGGAUGAGUUGCGAACGGGUGGGUAACGCGUAGGUAACCUGCCUUGUAGCGGGGGAUAACUAUUGGAAACGAUAGCUAAUACCGCAUAACAAUGGAUGACACAUGUCAUUUAUUUGAAAGGGGCAAUUGCUCCACUACAAGAUGGACCUGCGUUGUAUUAGCUAGUAGGUGAGGUAACGGCUCACCUAGGCGACGAUACAUAGCCGACCUGAGAGGGUGAUCGGCCACACUGGGACUGAGACACGGCCCAGACUCCUACGGGAGGCAGCAGUAGGGAAUCUUCGGCAAUGGGGGCAACCCUGACCGAGCAACGCCGCGUGAGUGAAGAAGGUUUUCGGAUCGUAAAGCUCUGUUGUAAGUCAAGAACGAGUGUGAGAGUGGAAAGUUCACACUGUGACGGUAGCUUACCAGAAAGGGACGGCUAACUACGUGCCAGCGGCCGCGGUAAUACGUAGGUCCCGAGCGUUGUCCGGAUUUAUUGGGCGUAAAGCGAGCGCAGGCGGUUUGAUAAGUCUGAAGUUAAAGGCUGUGGCUCAACCAUAGUUCGCUUUGGAAACUGUCAAACUUGAGUGCAGAAGGGGAGAGUGGAAUUCCAUGUGUAGCGGUGAAAUGCGUAGAUAUAUGGAGGAACACCGGUGGCGAAAGCGGCUCUCUGGUCUGUAACUGACGCUGAGGCUCGAAAGCGUGGGGAGCGAACAGG
rnacentral:rRNA from 1 species